rnacentral:rRNA from 1 species
CUACGGGUGGCUGCCGUGGGGAAUAUUGCACAAUGGAGGAAACUCUGAUGCAGCAACGCCGCGUGGAGGAUGACACAUUUCGGAGCGUAAACUCCUUUUAUAUAGGAAGAAGAUGACGGUACUAUAUGAAUAAGCGCCGGCUAACUCCGUGCCAGCAGCCGCGGUAAUACGGAGGGCGCAAGCGUUACUCGGAAUCACUGGGCGUAAAGAGCGUGUAGGCGGAUUAAAAAGUCAGAAGUGAAAUCCUAUAGCUUAACUAUAGAACUGCUUCUGAAACUCUUAAUCUAGAAUAUGGGAGAGGUAGAUGGAAUUUCUGGUGUAGGGGUAAAAUCCGUAGAGAUCAGAAGGAAUACCGAUUGCGAAGGCGAUCUACUAGAACAUUAUUGACGCUGAGACGCGAAAGCGUGGGGAGCAAACAGGAUUAGAUACCCGCGUAGUC